GUGUGUUAGUGGAAGCGUCUGGAAAGGCGUGCGAUACAGGGUGACAGCCCCGUACACAAAAAUGCACAUGCUGUGAGCUCGAUGAGUAGGGCGGGACACGUGGUAUCCUGUCUGAAUAUGGGGGGACCAUCCUCCAAGGCUAAAUACUCCUGACUGACCGAUAGUGAACCAGUACCGUGAGGGAAAGGCGAAAAGAACCCCGGCGAGGGGAGUGAAAAAGAACCUGAAACCGUGUACGUACAAGCAGUGGGAGCCUCUUUAUGGGGUGACUGCGUACCUUUUGUAUAAUGGGUCAGCGACUUAUAUUCUGUAGCAAGGUUAACCGAAUAGGGGAGCCGAAGGGAAACCGAGUCUUAACUGGGCGUUAAGUUGCAGGGUAUAGACCCGAAACCCGGUGAUCUAGCCAUGGGCAGGUUGAAGGUUGGGUAACACUAACUGGAGGACCGAACCGACUAAUGUUGAAAAAUUAGCGGAUGACUUGUGGCUGGGGGUGAAAGGCCAAUCAAACCGGGAGAUAGCUGGUUCUCCCCGAAAGCUAUUUAGGUAGCGCCUCGUGAAUUCAUCUCCGGGGGUAGAGCACUGUUUCGGCAAGGGGGUCAUCCCGACUUACCAACCCGAUGCAAACUGCGAAUACCGGAGAAUGUUAUCACGGGAGACACACGGCGGGUGCUAACGUCCGUCGUGAAGAGGGAAACAACCCAGACCGCCAGCUAAGGUCCCAAAGUCAUGGUUAAGUGGGAAACGAUGUGGGAAGGCCCAGACAGCCAGGAUGUUGGCUUAGAAGCAGCCAUCAUUUAAAGAAAGCGUAAUAGCUCACUGGUCGAGUCGGCCUGCGCGGAAGAUGUAACGGGGCUAAACCAUGCACCGAAGCUGCGGCAGCGACACUAUGUGUUGUUGGGUAGGGGAGCGUUCUGUAAGCCGUUGAAGGUGGCCUGUGAGGGUUGCUGGAGGUAUCAGAAGUGCGAAUGCUGACAUAAGUAACGAUAAAGCGGGUGAAAAGCCCGCUCGCCGGAAGACCAAGGGUUCCUGUCCAACGUUAAUCGGGGCAGGGUGAGUCGACCCCUAAGGCGAGGCCGAAAGGCGUAGUCGAUGGGAAACAGGUUAAUAUUCCUGUACUUGGUGUUACUGCGAAGGGGGGACGGAGAAGGCUAUGUUGGCCGGGCGACGGUUGUCCCGGUUUAAGCGUGUAGGCUGAUUUUCCAGGCAAAUCCGGAGAAUCAAGGCUGAGGCGUGAUGACGAGGCACUACGGUGCUGAAGCAACAAAUGCCCUGCUUCCAGGAAAAGCCUCUAAGCAUCAGGUAACAUCAAAUCGUACCCCAAACCGACACAGGUGGUCAGGUAGAGAAUACCAAGGCGCUUGAGAGAACUCGGGUGAAGGAACUAGGCAAAAUGGUGCCGUAACUUCGGGAGAAGGCACGCUGAUGGUAGGUGAAGCGACUUGCUCGUGGAGCUGAAAUCAGUCGAAGAUACCAGCUGGCUGCAACUGUUUAUUAAAAACACAGCACUGUGCAAACACGAAAGUGGACGUAUACGGUGUGACGCCUGCCCGGUGCCGGAAGGUUAAUUGAUGGGGUCAGCCGCAAGGCGAAGCUCUUGAUCGAAGCCCCGGUAAACGGCGGCCGUAACUAUAACGGUCCUAAGGUAGCGAAAUUCCUUGUCGGGUAAGUUCCGACCUGCACGAAUGGCGUAAUGAUGGCCAGGCUGUCUCCACCCGAGACUCAGUGAAAUUGAACUCGCUGUGAAGAUGCAGUGUACCCGCGGCAAGACGGAAAGACCCCGUGAACCUUUACUAUAGCUUGACACUGAACAUUGAGCCUUGAUGUGUAGGAUAGGUGGGAGGCUUUGAAGUGUGGACGCCAGUCUGCAUGGAGCCGACCUUGAAAUACCACCCUUUAAUGUUUGAUGUUCUAACGUGGACCCGUGAUCCGGGUUGCGGACAGUGUCUGGUGGGUAGUUUGACUGGGGCGGUCUCCUCCUAAAGAGUAACGGAGGAGCACGAAGGUUGGCUAAUCCUGGUCGGACAUCAGGAGGUUAGUGCAAUGGCAUAAGCCAGCUUGACUGCGAGCGUGACGGCGCGAGCAGGUGCGAAAGCAGGUCAUAGUGAUCCGGUGGUUCUGAAUGGAAGGGCCAUCGCUCAACGGAUAAAAGGUACUCCGGGGAUAACAGGCUGAUACCGCCCAAGAGUUCAUAUCGACGGCGGUGUUUGGCACCUCGAUGUCGGCUCAUCACAUCCUGGGGCUGAAGUAGGUCCCAAGGGUAUGGCUGUUCGCCAUUUAAAGUGGUACGCGAGCUGGGUUUAGAACGUCGUGAGACAGUUCGGUCCCUAUCUGCCGUGGGCGCUGGAGAACUGAGGGGGGCUGCUCCUAGUACGAGAGGACCGGAGUGGACGCAUCACUGGUGUUCGGGUUGUCAUGCCAAUGGCACUGCCCGGUAGCUAAAUGCGGAAGAGAUAAGUGCUGAAAGCAUCUAAGCACGAAACUUGCCCCGAGAUGAGUUCU
rnacentral:rRNA from 1 species